UUGAGACCAUACAUUCUACUCUCCGGCCAGUUUGUGAGUUCUAAAGGUUAUGGUCAAUUCUGGAUUACAUUUGGCUACAGUCCAGAUUAUGAACCCAAAGAAGCCAUGUUGACUACGACAAAGGACAUCCAAAAAGAGAGAAACAGGAUAAAGGACAUCUCUCUGGAGGUUGACUGUGACAUUCU